CCCUACUACAAAGACGUGGCUGUGGUUUCCUGGACAAGUAAGAAUUGGAAAGAGAUGCAAAGAGAUGUGGACUUGGAGAAGUUUGGAGCCAGGUUGCUCCCCAUAGGCUCAAGAUCACCCUUUCCCACACAG
rnacentral:snoRNA from 1 species